rnacentral:rRNA from 1 species
AGAGUUUGAUCAUGGCUCAGAACGAACGCUGACGGCAGACCUAACAUAUGCAAGUCGAACGCCCCGCAAGGGGAGUGGCAGACGGGUGAGUAACACGUGGGAACCUUCCCUAUAGUACGGAAUAGCCCAGGGAAACUUGGAGUAAUACCGUAUACGCCCGAGAGGGGAAAGAUUUAUCGCUAUAGGAUGGGCCCGCGUAGGAUUAGCUAGUUGGUGAGGUAAUGGCUCACCAAGGCAACGAUCCUUAGCUGGUUUGAGAGAACGACCAGCCACACUGGGACUGAGACACGGCCCAGACUCCUACGGGAGGCAGCAGUGAGGAAU